CAGGGAAUAUUGCACAAUGGACGGAAGUCUGAUGCAGCGACGCCGCGUGGAUGACGAAGGCCUCCGGGUCGUAAAAUCCUUUUUGGGGGGAAGAGAGAGGACGGUACCCCCGGAAUAAGCGUCGGCUAACUACGUGCCAGCAGCCGCGGUAAUACGUAGGACGCGAGCGUUAUCCGGAUUUACUGGGCGUAAAGCGUCUGUAGGCGGUAGCGUAAGUUGGAUGUGAAAGCUCCGGGCUUAACUCGGAGAGGCCAUUCAAUACUGCGCGACUAGAGGGCGUGAGGGGGGAGCGGAAUUUCCGGUGUAGCGGUAAAAUGCGCAGAUAUCGGGAGGAACACCAGUGGCGCAGGCGGCUCCCUGGUACGCACCUGACGCUGAGAGACGAAAGCUAGGGGAGCGAACAG
rnacentral:rRNA from 1 species